rnacentral:rRNA from 1 species
UCCCAGCGGUCCAAGUCGCAGCCACAAUUAUUGGGUCUAAAAUAUCCGUAGCUUGUUUAACAAGUCUCUUGUGAAAUCUGGCCUCUCAAGGGUCGGGCGCGCAAGAGAUACUGUUUAACUUGAGACCGGGAGACGUAAGGAGUAUGGAUAGAGUAGCGGUAAAAUGCGUUGAUCCUAUCUAGACUAACAAUAGCGAAGGCACCUUACGAGAACGGAUCUGACAGUGAGGGAUGAAGGCUAGGGGCGCAAAGUG